AGGAUAUCCAAUCUUCAGCUUCUCCUGCCACAGCCUCCGUGAAAGUGCAGCUGCCUUUUCUAUAGAGCACGGGAUUGAGAUGGAGCUGUGAAGAGUGUGGUCGCCAGCACCCGCAGCCUUGGGUUAAAUAAUCACUCCAGUCAGCAGGAGUCCCAGCAUGUGAACUGGACCUGACCAGCUGAAGGAGAACCGCUCUUGAGGCAGCCCACAAGACCAGGACAGACAGGGAGAUUUGAACUGCACCAAAGUAUCAACAACAAUCAGUCUGUUUCUGAAGAA
rnacentral:lncRNA from 1 species